UUCGAUCCGAGUCGACGAGUCGCCGUUCGCAUCGGAAUCCCGCGGCGGACAGGCCCUAACCCUAACCCGACGGCCAUGGCCGGAGGCGGAGACCCGUCCCCCUCCGCCGCCAAGCACUCCCGCUCCCCCGACGACGCCUCCCCGAAGCGCCUCAAGCGUCACCACCACCACCACCACCGUCGGACUCAUCGCCACCGUCACGCCGACUUCCCGGUAGCCGUGGCGCUGGAGGAAGACGAGGUUGAGGAGGGGGAAAUACUCGACGAUGCUGCAGCCGCCGCCGCCGCUGCUAUGGAUGUCGAUGCAGAUUCCGCCGCUCCGCAAGCUUCCCUUGCUCCGGAGCCCUUUGGUAAUGGUGCUGAUACAGACUCAAAAGCAGAUGCAACCAAGCUGUAUGCUUCUUCUCUGUCUACUCAUUCAUCCUCAAAAGAUGAAAGGAAGUCAGUUCACAGUGCCCGUGAGUCUGAAAGUGGAGGUAUCCCUUCAAGCGAUGUUGAGGAGACCAAAGGAUAUGAGCAAAGUCAAAGGAUUUCAAAAUCUCCGCAGUCAAGAAGCGAUAAGGGAAAGAGGCACAGGGAUGACCAUCACACUUCAUCUUCUAAAGGUUCUUAUUCCAAAGAUCACUCUAGAAUGUCUCCGUACUCAAGGCACCUCAGUGAAGUGCAUGCCAGAGAUCACUCAAGGUCCAGGGAGGAAGGUGCUGAAGCUAAUGGUCCGCGUGUAAGUCUAAGGGAUGAUUCUGAUCCUGACAGCAAUGAUCUGAAUGGGAAGUCUGGUAGACAUGCGAGUAGAAGCCGUAAUAAUGAAAGAGAAAGGAACAGCAGCCGCGGUGUUCGUGAUGGACAUGGUGACAGGCAUGAUAGCCGGGAAAGGUAUAGGGAUGAUAGGAGGCACAACAGCAGCAGCAGCAGCAUAGUAGAUAGAGACAAAGUUGAUUCAUGUGAAGCUACUCGGAGGCACAGAGUAAGAAGCAGCAGUCAUAGUAGAUCUGACCGAAGGGAAAGCGCACGCGUACGUGAUGAAAGCCGGGAGAGGGAAAGACGGAGUGGUAGUUCAAGGCUUAAAGAUCAUGAUAGGAGGAGGGAUUCAAGUAAGGAUUGGCAUAGAGAAUCUGACAGGGUUGAUAGUGCAUGUGAAAGUGAGAGAGUGAGAGAUGAUAGGGGCAGGGAAUGGCAAGGGGCUAAGGGAAGUGAAACUCGUAGAACCGGAGGACAGGACAAAGUUAGCAACAGUUAUAGGCAUAGGGAUUCUACACGCUCAAAAUACAGCAUGUCUGAUGGUUACAAAGAGAGGCCAAGAUCCGGGGAGAAAGCUAGAGAUGCUGGCCAUAAAAGCCGGAGAUCUGAAGAAAUGAAGGAAAAUUCUUUCAAGGAGGAAGAUGAAGAUGAGUACCAAGAGAAAAUUGAACAGCAGUUAGCAAUGCAGGAAGAAGAUGACCCUGAAAAAAUUAAGGAGGAAGCAAGGAGGAGGAAAGAAGCUAUUAUGGCGAAGUACAGGCAGCAACACUUGCAGAAGCAGCAGGUGGAAUCUGUUCCAAGUAGCAAUAAUGAAGAAGUAAGAGCAAUGGAUAGAGAUGAAACGACACAUCUGAAAGAAGAUAAUAAUAGCAGCUCUAUGGCCAAUGAUGAAGCUGAAAAUAAGCAGGAUUCUUCAGAGGUGUUUAUUGGCGAAGCAGACUUCACUGUGGGAAAGUCUCCUGCUCACAAUGAUAUUUUAGCUAGUGCAGGAGCAUUGGGCGAUGAGAGGAUGAUAGGUGUUUCAGGUCUCGGAGAGGGUACUCCCAAGAGUGAGAGAUCAGCGGAUAUGUUUUGUGAUGACAUUUUCGGAGAAUCACCUGCUGGAAUUAAAAAAUCGGGUAAGGAUGACGGUUUGCACAUUGAGAGAAAUGCUCUUCAUGACAACUGGGAUGAUGCAGAGGGUUACUACACUUACCGGUUUGGGGAAUUGCUGGAUGGCCGUUAUGAAAUCACAGCAGCGCAUGGGAAGGGUGUAUUCUCAACAGUUGUGCGGGCAAAAGAUCUUAAAGCUGGUAAAGAUGAUCCUGAAGAAGUUGCUAUUAAAAUUAUUCGCAACAACGAUACAAUGUACAAGGCUGGUAAGCAAGAGGUUUCAAUAUUGGAAAAACUUGCAAGUGCGGACCGCGAGGACAGACGCCACUGCGUGCGGUUUAUUUCUAGUUUCAUGUACCGGAACCAUCUUUGCUUAGUUUUUGAAUCUCUCAAUAUGAAUCUUCGUGAGGUAUUAAAGAAAUUUGGUCGUAAUAUCGGGCUUAAACUGACUGCGGUGAGGGCAUAUUCAAAGCAGCUUUUCAUCGCCCUGAAGCAUCUGAAGAACUGCAAAGUUUUGCACUGUGAUAUAAAGCCAGAUAAUAUGCUGGUGAACGAGGCUAAGAAUGUACUGAAGCUAUGUGAUUUUGGCAAUGCGAUGCUUGCUGGAAUGAACGAGGUUACGCCUUAUCUUGUCAGCCGUUUCUAUCGGGCACCUGAGAUAAUUCUUGGGUUGCCCUAUGACCACCCAUUGGACAUGUGGUCAGUUGGCUGCUGUCUGUAUGAACUUUACACGGGAAAAGUCUUAUUUCCAGGUCCAUCAAAUAAUGACAUGCUUCGGCUUCAUAUGGAAUUGAAGGGCCCCUUCCCUAAGAAGAUGCUUCGAAAGGGUGCCUUUACGAUGCAACACUUUGACCAAGACCUCAAUUUUCAUGCUACUGAGGAGGAUCCUGUGACAAAAAAGGCUGUGAGAAGGUUAAUUUUGAACAUCAAACCCAAGGAUAUUGGUUCUUUGAUUUCAAACUUUCCUGGCGAGGAUCCAAAAAUGCUAUCCAGUUUUAAAGAUCUUCUCGAUAAAAUAUUUGUCUUAGAUCCAGAAAAGAGGAUAACAGUAUCACACGCACUUAGCCAUCCUUUUAUCACUGGCAAGUGAAAAUAAGAUGCCGAUUCCUCUUGACAUUGUAAGACAAUUUGGGUUCCUGUUGUCUAAUCAUCGGCAUUUCUGUCUUGUGUCCUGAGAGCUAUGAGAUCAGAGUACGUGGAUGAAGCAUGGAACUAUGGAAGAGAUGGCUAUCUUGCAGACCUUGCUGCAUACACUUAUCAUUUGGAUAUGUUCUGUUGCUUGAUUCUGCCAGGGGUUCUGCUGUGUGCACAUUUUAUAUUCAAGGGCCAACAUAAGAAGGUCGUGGGAUGGAGAUUGCUGCACCCUCUGCUUACUUGUCAUGGUAAAUCCCUUAACUCUCUGGAUAUGUCGUCCUUCCAGUUUGUUCUUGAUAGUUUUCACCUAAUGUUUCAGAAUGUUUGAUACAGAAUGGCCGACUCAUUUUUUUCAAUUUUUGCGACCUUUUGCUGUUUUUUGAUAGGUGUCCUUCUAAUCUUUAAAUUGAUGCAGUAAGUUAUUUGAAUAACUUUUUGAUAUUCUAUUGUGUGAUUACCAGAAAAUACCCCAUACUAAUAGGUUAUGUAAAUUCAAGUAUAUACUUUACACUACAAGCUCUCUUCUCUAUCACGCAAUGAAGUUUGUGAAACAUAGGAGAAUUUGAGUUGUAUGCAACAAAUAUAGGAGCUGAAACUGACUUAGUGAGAGCUAGUUAUAUAACUGAGGGCUAAAGUAUUCGUAUCUAAGUUAACAAACACGAGCAGCAAAGAGAUAGCUGUAUUUGCUGCAUGAUGAGAAAUGCCAGUGGCAUUACCUAAUUUUACUAUCUGAAGUCUUAAAUAUCAUAGUGAACUUACUAUUUUAGUUUCGUUAAGUUGGAUUCUUUAGAAUGCUAUUUGCCAGUUAGUCAGUUUGAGCCUAAUGCCAUUCAUAAGUGGGCAUUUGAAAGAUAGAAGUGUUUAGGUAGAGACUUUCUUGCGUUGGAUGAAUGCAGUUUUUUAGGCCUAUUUUGAGUUUGGUGCCUGUUUCAAAUUUUUAGGGAUGAUAGUGUUAAGUGUUGAGUUUCUUUGUCUAUCUGUACCACUUGUUUCUAGAUUAUUUUAUUAAUUGCAAGGAUCUUUGCAAAGGACCCCCCUCCCUACCCACCAAUAAAAACCAUCCAGUCAGCCGUCACCUGUUUUGUCUGUUCACUUUGGCAGCACAGGGCUUUUCCGCCUAGUAAUACAGUGUCACCAUGACUCGUGUAUCUGAAAAAAUUUCGGCGUGUCAAUGUGUAUCCACGCGUUGACUCGCGUCCAACACGGUGUGACGCGGUUCGAACACCUCAGGCCGCGAAGCGACAUUGGGGGGGGGGGGGGGGGGAGGCAGAGAGGAUUCGGGUCAGUUGCAGUGGGCUAAUGGGAGUAAUUGAAGCCCUAGUGGGCUAAAAUAGAAAGGGUUGGCUUGGAUAUGUUGGGCUGGACCAACCCAAUCCCUUCUUUUCUCUUUUUCUUUUCUACUUUUGUGUAGUCUGUUUACACAUCCUUUAUACCUACAAAGCUACAACCGGAUGUUUUGAUGUGUGUUAACCACAAAUUAAUGUAUUAUUUUAGAAAUACUGAUAUUAUUUACUAAUAAAAAUAUAAAUAAUAUAUUUUUAAUAUAAUAUUAAUAUAAAUUAGACGAGUCCUCGAAUCCUAUUUUUUAGAGUUUGCCGAAUCAGACACCCGCACCCAGGCCUAGCCAAGUGGGCUUGAUGGGCCGGCUCGGCACAUGCACAUGUAGGCAUGGCCCGUCAGACUUGGUUACAAAACCGUCUAAAGCACAGACGGCUCGGUGACUGCGGGUAGCGACAAGGUUGGGCGAGGCGGCGGGACAGGGCGACGACUGGGCAGGGUGGGGCGGUGUAGCCGGGUUGGGCCGUGACGGCACAACGUGCUAUGGCCCUACCCAGGCACGGCAAGGUGUGUCAAGUCGUGCCUAGGCUGUGCCUACAGUAGCGGGUCUCGUGCUGGCCCAGUAGGCAUGACCCAGUUGGCUAGCUUUAUCCGCACCCUAGUCGGACUCCGACACCCGCACAUGUGUCUCGUUAACAAUGAGUAAUAUUGGGCUAAGUUCUCCCUGAUAUUUUAUUCAGUGCGAAGGAGCCAAGCCCCAUGCAAUUGGUGGUUGCUUUUAUAAUCAAUUUGCAAUUAGUGGGAUCUAUCAGUGUUCCUUUCAAGGGCAGUGGCAUAACUUUUGGGGUUAUGCACAUCAUAUUCAUGGGUUGGGUGUGUCGGUGUACGAAAACAAAUUAUGCAGGGCAGAGUGUUAACUCAUUUUGUGUGCUCAGUGCUGCAGCUUGGGUCAUUCUGCGGUGCUCCGGGUCUAGAACUGCUAGGUAGUUAGCCCAGAUUUCCCUAAUUAACCGAGUGUUGUAAGGUUUGGCCUUGUUUACCCUUAAAAUGAGGCUUCUUCUUACAUGAAAUGGCAAAAAAAGUGUGUGCUCCUGCCAAGGGGUUUGGAGAUGGUGGUUGGUGUGUGUGCCGGGUGUGGUGGGUGCUUGCUUUUAUGCAUUUUCCCUUGUUUGUGUCGUUUCAGACUUCCAGUGAUGGUAUAUUCUGGCAAAUUCCAAAUAUAACAUGCUAAUUACUGUCAGUACCUUUGGAGACCUACGAUAGGUUAUUGCAUACUCAGGAAAGAUUUGAGAAUAGUUAGAUGUUAUCAAGAUACAUAGGUUAACGAUUACCAUGUUAUGGGCUAAUUGAUAUGUCAGUGAUUCAGAUUACCUUCUUUACUAUUUGUAUAUAGUAUCAUCCCAGCUGGAAUUUUCUUUUCUUUUUGUAUUUUUUUGAAUUGCUGUAUGAAAAUGGAGGGAAACAAUACAUUGGCUAUCGACCGGAAUGAGAGACAUCUUUUGUUUUUACCA